rnacentral:lncRNA from 1 species
UGACUUUUCUUCAUGAACAUCCUGCAUAUUCCUUGUUUCAUUUAUCCUUGGUUAUUUAGAACAUUUCUUCUAUUUUAAUGCUAACUUCAAUUGACUCAAAUUUUGUUGACGGCUUGUGAGAUCAACCAAAAGCUAAAUGAAAUCAGUCUUCUGUGUGUGUGUUUGUUUUUAAUGCUUUCUAGAUUAGUCUGACAUGCACACCCAAUCGGAAAACACUAGCGCAGAAGAGGGAGAGCCUAAUAUCAGCAUUACCUAGGUAUUAGAAGAAUUUGGAUAUUAUUAUAUACACCUGGCAUGAUAGCUAGGACAGAACCUGUUCUGCCGGGAGAAGGCGCCUGCUCAGGGUUUCUCUUUCCCUACAUGGGAACCCCUGAAGGAGAGUCCUGCCUGUGAUCUUCAUUUAGAAGGCUAGUGCUGACCACUGCUUGGUUCUCAUCAAUCCAUCCUUGACAGAUAUCCCCAAUCUCAUCUUAAAUCUGAAUUGAACCUGUCAUAUUAUAGCCUGGCUCUUCUCUCACCAACUAUUUGGGGCAACUUGAUUAUGUUACCAAAGAUCACCUCCUUCCUAUCAUCUUCCGUCUGAGACUUGCUUAGAGUGAGUUUGGAAGCUGUGUUUUGCUCAUCCUGAAGACUGAACAUAAGAAAAUAUUGCUCAAGUUCUGGAUGAUGCAGCUGCUGAAAUAAUCUGUGGUGCACUUUCCUUCAGGAAUCCUUACCUAUUUUUUCAGGUGUUCCACAAGCCUUCUUAUCUUGGAAUUCAGUAAUACUUAUUGUGUGGUUGCUUACUGUUCCCUAGGCACCGUCUCAUGCUUUCAAGUAAUGUUCUCGUGUUUACCUGCUGAUAUUCCUUCAAAGUUAGAGGCUGCCUCUCUCCAAGUGUGGAAAAAAACAAUCAGAUGUCACUAAGAUAUUGUGUAACAAUUCAUAUUAAACACAUGAUCUUGUCAGUCAAGAAGAAGAGAUUAAAACAAACACCUUGAGAGUUCAUGAGUAGAAGUAUACAGCCCUGCAUUCAUGAUAAUAUGGUGCAUUUUACCUACCUUGCAGCAGAAAGAGAUAUCUAAUUCCAUACACAGCAAUGUAACUGUUUAAAGUGCUCCUAAAAUUCAGACAAAACAAAUUAUAAAGUAUGGAGAAACCAUCAGAAAGCAUGCUGAAAAUAGAGAGGGCUUCUAAAACAGAAAGCUCCUGCCUGUUUUACUGAAGGCUACCAGAUUCUUUCUCAGAAAUUUUGUACAGUUCAGAGGCACAAAUGCUCUUUUAGGUCCUUUGAAGCACUGGGUUUAAUAUCGGAAUUUAAUCUUGGCUCUAGUCUCCAAUUCCUUACAUAGUCAUUCAAGCAAUCUUGGGGACCAAGUCUUCCAAUAGCAUAGUGAUAUUCAUGCCUGAAGUGGGAGGAAUAGAUAUCCUCCUCAUUAACAAGGGAUGAGAGAUCAU